rnacentral:rRNA from 1 species
UACGGGGGGGCAAGCGUUGUUCGGAAUUACUGGCGUAAAGGGUGCGUAGGCGGCGCGGUAAGUCGGAUGUGAAAUCUCGGAGCUUAACUUCGAAACUGCAUUCGAUACUGCCGUGCUUGAGGACUGGAGAGGAGACUGGAAUUCCGGUGUAGUGGUGAUAUGCGUAGAUAUCGGAGGAACACUUGUGGCGAAGCGGCUUCUGGGCCUACCUGACGCUGAGACGCGAAGCGUGGGAGCGA